rnacentral:rRNA from 1 species
GACGAACGCUGGCGGCGUGCUUAACACAUGCAAGUCGAACGGAAAGGCCCUGCUUGCAGGGUACUCGAGUGGCGAACGGGUGAGUAACACGUGGGUGAUCUGCCCUGCACUUCGGGAUAAGCCUGGGAAACUGGGUCUAAUACCGGAUAGGAGCCAUUUUUAGUGUGAUGGUUGGAAAGUUUUUUCGGUGUAGGAUGAGCUCGCGGCCUAUCAGCUUGUUGGUGGGGUAAUGGCCUACCAAGGCGGCGACGGGUAGCCGGCCUGGGAGGGUGGACGGCCACAUUGGGACUGAGAUACGCCCCAGACUCCUACGGGAGGCAGCAGUGGGGAAUAUUGCACAAUGGGCGCAAGCCUGAUGCAGCGACGCCGCGUGGGGGAUGACGGCCUUCGGGUUGUAAACUCCUUUCGCUAGGGACGAAGCUUUUUGUGACGGUACCUAGAUAAGAAGCACCGGCUAACUACGU